AAACUGGAGAGUUUGAUCCUGGCUCAGAACGAACGCUGGCGGCGUGGAUUAGGCAUGCAAGUCGAACGAUCCCUUUCGUCAAGAGGGGGAUAGUGGCGAACGGGUGAGUAACACGUGGGUAAUCUGCCUUUAGGUUCGGGAUAACCCGUCGAAAGAUGGACUAAUACCGGAUGAGACCACGGUCCCCGAUGGGACUGGGGUUAAAGAUGGGGAUCCUGAAAAUGGACCUGUUGCCUUUAGAUGAGCCCGCGAACUAUCAGCUUGUUGGUAGGGUAACGGCCUACCAAGGCUAUGACGGUUAGCUGGUCUGAGAGGAUGGUCAGCCACACUGGGACUGAGACACUGCCCAGACUCCUACGGGAGGCUGCAGUCGAGAAUCUUUUGCAAUG
rnacentral:rRNA from 1 species